CUACGGGAUGCAGCAGUGAGGAAUAUUGGACAAUGGUCGAGAGACUGAUCCAGCCAUGCCGCGUGCAGGAAGACGGCCCUAUGGGUUGUAAACUGCUUUUGUACGGGAAGAAUAAUGCCCACGAGUGGGCAGAUGACGGUACCGUACGAAUAAGGACCGGCUAACUCCGGCCAGCAGCCGCGGUAAUACGGAGGGUCCGAGCGUUAUCCGGAAUCAUUGGGUUUAAAGGGUCCGUAGGCGGAUCAGUAAGUCAGGGGUGAAAGUUUGCGGCUCAACCGUAAAAUUGCCUUUGAUACUGCUGGUCUUGAGUUACAGUGAAGUGGCCGGAAUAUGUGGUGUAGCGGUGAAAUGCAUAGAUAUCACAUAGAACACCGAUUGCGAAGGCAGGUCACUAACCGUAUACUGACGCUGAUGGACGAAAGCGUGGGGAGCAAACGGGAUUAGAUACCCGCGUAGUC
rnacentral:rRNA from 1 species